CAAGCAGAGGAGGGAUAUCUCACCUGGCCUUGGCAGCCAGAGCAGCUUCCCAGAGAAGAAGAUGAAGAGCUCAGUCCUGAAGAAGUAGAAGUUAGCGAGUUAAAGAGGGGCAGGCUGGGAUGGAGAGGGGACUAGAUACCACAAGCAGGACGAUCGUGUUGCACAAAUCCAGGGGAUGCUAUUCGCACUGUGGUCUAGAAUAUAAACAGCGCCUCCUGGAGUUGUGUAGCUCAGUGACCUAAAGGAGUUAGCCUCCCAAUUUGCCAGAAAACCUUUAAAAAGCUAGGCUGAGAAUAUCGACAAGAUCAUGUGCUAAAUGCAAAGAAGUCUUCAGGAGGGGGCUGUGGCAGGAGGGAAAUGGGUGGGAGUGGGCUUCUAGGUUCUUGCAAAGAUUAAAACUGAACCCUCCAUUGAAAGCCUUUCAAGAUGCCCCCAGACCUGGAAACAGUGCUGGACUUGGCUGGAAAAAGGGGAGGCUGUCAGGAGGUAAAGCUGGAGAAUGCUGGAACCUCAGACACCGAAACGCUAAUAGACAUGGCUCAUCCCUACCGAAAACCAAGUGAGAAAUUCGUGCUUAGUCUCAUAUUUGACAAUCUGGAAUUGCUCAUUUUCAUACUCACUUUCAAUAAGAGAGAGCCCUGAGCAAGGUUGUGAAAUAAAAUAAUUAUAGUCCUUUCAUUCAUACUGCAUUGUAUAAUUUACAUAAAGUUUUGUUAUUCAUUUUUUUAUCCGAGUCUCACAACAACCGUGUGAGGCAGGUGGAACAGGGAUUGCCAUUCCCUUCUGGCAAAAGACGAAACCGAGGCCCAGAACAGUUAAGUUACCAGAAUUCAUAGAGCCCAUUAUGUGGAACAGCCAGGCUAGAAUUCAGGCCCUUUGAGACAUUCCACGUUCGUUCCACUCUACCACGGAGAAAGGCUUGCCUUUGACAACUUGCCUGCCAGCUCCCUUGCCCACACUUGCUACUUUGUGACACCACGCUGCUUAUAUCCACCCCUGGGAAACUUCUCAUUUGUCUCCCCCUUCCACGGCGACCUUUUCUAGGCUACAGCCCCUCGUCCACACGCAGCUUUUCUCUGAUCUCAAGAACGUGUCCAUGCAGAGGAACUCUUUUUAAGGUUCUGUUUCAUGAGAGGGGCCGGGAGAACCUACCCACUGACCUAAUUUACUAAUUCUUGCUGAGAAGUUUGGGGAGUGAUUGUUACUCCUCCGAGAUAACAGCGCACUUUAAGAGAAGUUCUCAAUGCCUUACUCCAAAGGAUAGAUUCCAAUUGUGAGAGUUUUAGCGUUUUGGCUUAUUUUGAAGCGCCUGCAGAUCCUAUGAUGUAAGUGCCCCUUCCCCCUAACACACACCUGGGACUAGCCCCACCUGAGUGAGCUAACAAGCUAGUCGUCUAGUCCUUUGUGCAUAGGUGCCUUCUUCCUCUGAGCCCAGGGAACACAUCUUGACUCGCAGCUGAAGACUGGCUCCGUGGCCAGCUGGCACCCAGAGCUCUCCCAGGGAGAGUCAGCUUUUGGGAGCUAACGGCACACUCCUGCCUGGUCUGCAGCGCCUGCCAUAGGUCUCCCCUUCCCGUCCCUCCAGGGAGCUGGAGCUUCUCCUUCUUCCUGAGAUGCUCAGGGAUUCUUGUCAGAGAGGGGAAGUGAGUUGCUGAAAGGAUGCUUGCUGUGGGGCACUGCCCAGCUCUGCCUCGACCCUUCAGCGCCGAAGCCCUCAGCUCCCCAGCUGUAGGGAGUGCUGCUGAUCGACAGUGCACAGCUGAGCCCCUCACCAGGAACGGCCCUUAGCUGAAGAGAGCCACCGCGCCCAAGGUCGUGCACCCAUCCCAGGUGGCAGCCUGCAUCCGUGACGGCAAGACCCAGGGUUUCACAACUGGCGCCCAUGCUGUGCCCACUGACACGCCCUGUUCACUGGAGUCCUCCCUCACCAUGUGCCAGCAGCUGCUGCAGCCCUGUUUGGUGGUGAAAGGAAGGGUAGAAGGUAUCCUCUCCAUUUACAGACCACCUGAUUUCUCCUGCAACUGCAGUUUCCAGCAUUCUGACAGUCUUCCAUCUCAAGUAGCUUGUCUCUCUUCUCUGCCUGAGGCUUUCUUAGGCAGUGGAAGCUUGCUCUGCCUGAGCCAGGUGCAACCCGGAAGUGCAGGAUAGUAAAGAUCAUUGGCGCUGACCUUCAACCAAUGGGGAUGGAAUAAAUAUCACAGACUUCUCCUCCGAUGGGAUGAUUCUGAGGCAUGGUCCACAUGGUUUAUCAGAGAGUCUCCUGCAAGACUGAGUCCCAGCUGCCCACAGGAUAACUUGCUCGUUAACAUACUUGUUAGUAGCUUUUCUCCCUUCUUUGUCUCACUUUCCCCAUUUUCUUCUUGUGCUCCUGAGAUCACCUCCUAAAUAAACC
rnacentral:lncRNA from 1 species